rnacentral:rRNA from 1 species
AUACGGAGGGUGCGAGCGUUAUUCGGAAUUACUGGGCGUAAAGCGCGUGCAGGCGGUUUGACAAGUCUGAUGUGAAAGCCCCGAGCUUAACCUGGGAAGUGCAUUGGAAACUGUUGGACUUGAGUACUGGAGAGGAAGGGGGAAUUCCCGGUGUAGAGGUGAAAUUCGUAGAGAUCGGGAGGAAUACCAGUGGCGAAGGCGCCCUUCUGGACGGCUACUGACGCUGAGACGCGAAAGCGUGGGGAGCAAACAGGAUUAGAUACCCUGGUAGUCCACGCUGUAAACGAUGAGCACUAGGUGUAGCGGGUACUCAUUCCUGCUGUGCCGUAGCUAACGCGUUAAGUGCUCCGCCUGGGGAUUACGGUCGCAAGACUAAA